ACCCGCUGAACUUAAGCAUAUCAAUAAGCGGAGGAAAAGAAACCAACAGGGAUUGCCCUAGUAACGGCGAGUGAAGCGGCAACAGCUCAAAUUUGAAAUCUGGCGCAAGCCCGAGUUGUAAUUUGUGGAGGAUGCUUCUAGGUAGCGACCGGUCUAAGUUCCUUGGAACAGGACGUCAUAGAGGGUGAGAGUCCCGUAUGUGACUGGCCCGCACCUUCUACGUAGCUCCUUCGACGAGUCGAGUUGUUUGGGAAUGCAGCUCUAAAUGGGAGGUAAAUUUCUUCUAAAGCUAAAUACCGGCCAGAGACCGAUAGCGCACAAGUAGAGUGAUCGAAAGAUGAAAAGCACUUUGGAAAGAGAGUUAAAAAGCACGUGAAAUUGUUGAAAGGGAAGCGCUCACAACCAGACUUCUAGGCAGUGUUCCGCCGGUCUUUUGACCGGUCUACUCUCUGUCUCGAGGCCAACAUCAUCUGGGACCGCCGGAUAAGACCUUAGGAAUGUAGCUCCCCUCGGGGAGUGUUAUAGCCUCUGGUGAUGCGGCGCGUCUCGGGUGAGGUCCGCGCUUCGGCAAGGAUGUUGGCGUAAUGGUUGUCAGCGGCCCGUCUUGAAACACGGACCAAGGAGUCUAACAUCUAUGCGAGUGUUCGGGUGUCAAACCCCUACGCGUAAUGAAAGUGAACGGAGGUGGGAAGCGUAAGCUGCACCAUCGACCGAUCCUGAUGUCCUCGGAUGGAUUUGAGUAAGAGCAUAGCUGUUGGGACCCGAAAGAUGGUGAACUAUGCCUGAAUAGGGUGAAGCCAGAGGAAACUCUGGUGGAGGCUCGCAGCGGUUCUGACGUGCAAAUCGAUCGUCAAAUUUGGGUAUAGGGGCGAAAGACUAAUCGAACCAUCUAGUAGCUGGUUCCUGCCGAAGUUUCCCUCA
rnacentral:rRNA from 1 species